UUUUCUAUGGUAUAAUAUAUGUAAGCAGAAAGUUAAGACGGUUGGCAAAACUUGAUGUCAGGUGGUGGUGCUUAUGCAGUUCUUGCAGAGUGUCCAGAAUCUACAGAAAGGAGUAGCCUAGUUGUUUUUUGGGAUAAUCCUAGCAGUAAUUAGUGGUGUAACGGCAAUCAUUUUGGCAGUUGAAAAGCU
rnacentral:sRNA from 1 species